AGUUUGGGGCAUUUCCAGGGGUAGCUUUAUGACCCUGGUGCAGUGGUAGGCGCUGCUUAACGAAAAGGUUGCUUCGCCUAUGCUAAACCGCUAAACUGGCAAAGAAAUUAGUGGAAGCUAACUUUGACCGCUAACUUUUUAUACAGGUAACUCUGGAUUUAUGCGAGUAUUGUGUCCUUGAAGAGGUGGCGUAAAUCAAAAACAAUGUAAAUCAAACAAGAGGUUGGUUUGUACCUUUAUUGCCUACUGUAUCACUCUGACUCCUCUCCCUCCCGUGGUUCCUCCUCUGGCUGCCCUUCCCCUCGUGGUAGCACAGCACUGUGACAGCAGCGAGGGUGUUGUUGUUGUUGUUGAGUAGCGUGGCAGCGUGGGUACUGUGUUGUUGUUCAAGUGGCGCGCGGGAAGAACUGAGCUCAGCUGUGUGGCCGUGUGAGUCCACUUGCGUGAGACAUCUGGUGGCCACUCCAUAAAAUAUCGCGUAUAAGUGAAAAAAACGUGUAAAUUAAACAUUUAUUUGGAUUUUGGGCCCUACGUAAUUUCAAGAACGCUUAAACCAAACUCGCGUAAAUCGAGAGUUACCUGUAUUUUUUCUACUGCCAUCCUGAAGGCAAAUAUCUGAUCUACACAUCCCCUUCCCUUCCUGAAGCCUCCUUGUUGUUCACUGAUUUCCUCUUCUGUAAGUCUUUGCACCCUCUCUAUUAUGACUUUUCCAUAUAUCUUUCCGGAUAUACUCAGGAAACUUAUACCUCUAUAGCUCCCACAUUCCCCUUUCCUGCCCUUCCCCUUGUUAACUGGGACAAUGGUGGAUUUUGUCCAGUCUGCUGCCCAUGCUACCCAUGCUACUUCACAUAUCUUGACCAUCCACUUAACAACUACAUCUCCUCCGCACUUCAACAUUUCUGCUGUGAUUCCAUUUUUUUUAUCUUUUUAUUGCCUGAUCUACUUCUUCAUAUGUUAUACUUCUUUCUUUAUAUACUCCUCCUCUGCCUGUACUCAAAACUGCUGUUGUUACAGCUGCUGGACGUCCAUCCUCAAAAUUCACUAAGUUUUUGAAAUAUUCUCUCCAUAUCUCUUUCACAGCUUCCCCGUCUUUCAGCAUCUUUCUAUUCUCAUCCAUAACUUCAUUUAUUUUGAAGAGAUAUUUUCUGCAUUUCUUUCGUUUUUUAACUUCUUUCCAAUAUGAUUUCCUGUUCCCUUUAUAUUUUUCACUUAGUCUUUUUCCAAAGUCUUCAUCAACUCUCUUCUUACUUUCUUUUAUUGCUUGUUUUAAUUUAAUUUUGCAUUCGCUAUAUUUCUUUUUCCUUUCCCUUUUUCCUUUCCCUAAUAAUUGUCCACUUACCCUACUUUAUUUACUUUAGGUAACACUCGAUUUACACAAGUAUUGUGUCCUUGAAGAGGUCGCGUAAAUCAAAAACAAUGUAAAUCCAACAAGAGGUAGGUUUGUACCUUUAUUGCCUACUGUAUCACUCUGACUCCUCUCCCUCUCAUGGUUCCUCCUCUGGCCGCCCUUCCCCUCGUGGUAGCACAGCAGCGAGGGUGUUGUCGUUGUUGAGUAGCGUGGCAGCGUGGGUACUGUAUUGUUGUUCAAGUGGCGCGCGGGAAGAACUGAGCUCUGGUGUGUGGCCGUGUGAGUCCAGUUGCGUGAGACACCUGGUGGACACUCCAUAAAAGAUCGCGUAUAAGUGAAAAAAACAUGUAAAUUAAACAUUCAUUUGGAUUUUGGACCCCGCGUUAUUUAAGAAAUGCGUAAACCAAACUGGCGUAAAUUGAGUUACCUGUAUAAGGUGUAAUUUACCAAAAGAUGGAAGCCCUGAAUUUUUUACGCCAUGUGGCUCAACUGGUGCUGUGUCUGCCCACAACGGACGAGAACAAACCUGUAUGACUUUUUAAUGGACUUAAAGUUAGCGGAUUAGCGAAACCGUGCCCACCGCUGCCCUGGUGGUAGCGUGACCCUUCCUCUGUACCAUGAACCUAAAAUACCACUCAUUUGACGAGGCUUUCAUAGGAGUUCAGAGCAGGGCAUUUCCAGGGGUAGUUUUAUGACCCUGGUGUAGUUAGUCUCUCCUCCUUGGUGUUCUUCCUUCUGAUGCCUUCCUCCACACACACACACAGCCCGGUAGCUCAGUGGAUAGAGUGUCUGCCUCACAACCAGAAGGACCGGGGUUCGAUUCCCCAUUCGGGUGAAGAUAAGUUGGGUUGAUCUUCUUUCCCGUGUAGCCCCUGUUCGCCCAGCAGUGAGUAGGUACGCGAUGUCAGGCGAGGAGUUGUGACCUCGUCGCGAUGUGUUGUGUGUGAACGGGGCUUUGGUUGGUAUUGUCAGAUGCUCCCAACCUUCAUACCAACUAUUUCCAAAUGCCAAAAAAGAGGUUAAUCGAGAUCUAAUGAGUGUUCUUUUAGGUUCAUGGUACAGAAGAAGGCUCAGACUACCACCAGGGUCAUAAAAGAACUCCUGGAAAUUGUCAGAUACUCCCACCCUUCAUAUCAACUAUUUCCAAAGGCCAUAAAGGAGGUUAAUCGAGAUCUAAUGAGUGUUCUUUUAGGUUCACGGUACAGAAGAAGGCUCAGACUACCACCAGGGUUAUAAAAGUACUCCUGGAAAUGCCCUGAACUCCCACGAAAGACUAGUAAAUUACAUGUUCUAAUGAGCGUUCUUUUAGGUUCACGGUACAGAAGAAGGCUCAGACUACCACCAGGGUCAUAAAAGUACCCCUGAAAAUGCCCUAAACUCCCACGAAAGACUAGUAAAUUACGUGUUCUAAUGAGUGUUCUUUUAGGUUCAUGGUACAGAAGAAGGCUCAGACUACCACCAGGGUCAUAAAAGUACCCCUGAAAAUGCCCUAAACUCCCACGAAAGACUAGUAAAUUACGUGUUCUAAUGAGCGUUCUUUUAGGUUCAUGGUACAGAAGAAGGCUCAGACUACCACCAGGGUCAUAAAAGUACCCCUGAAAAUGCCCUAAACUCCCACGAAAGACUAGUAAAUUACGUGUCCUUGGGCGCAGAGAUGUUUAAAAUAUGGCCCUCGGUCCUACCCAAAGAUCGGUACUACAAGCUCUGUGCUCUUCCGUAGUGGACCGGCUGGCUGUCGCGAGAGUGACCCACAGCAGACCAAGAGGUGAAUUACACACACUGUCUUCAGGUCUCCCUUCUUUGGUCUUUCAGUAGCUUCCCCGUCUAUCAACAUCUUUCCAUUCUCAUCUAUAACUUCAUUUAUUUUACUUGGGGGAGAUAUUUUGUGCAUUUCUUUUGUUCCUUACCUGGUCUCCUCCUGCCUCAACCUUUGCGUCUCCUAUAAAUACUUGUCCCUCCUCCUUCUGACGUGCCCACACCUCCUCACCCUCUGCCUCCUCAGCACACUCAACACAUCCUCCAUCCUACACAUUCCCAUCACCUCCACAGCUCUUCUUAAGUACAUGUUCCUCCUCCUCCUCCUGGGGCUUCGUGGUGCAGUGGUUAGCACACUCGGCUCACAACCAAGAGAGCCCGGGUUCGACUCCCAGGCGGAGUGGAAAAAUUUGGGUGGCUUUUCCGAUAGCCUACGCCCCUGUCCACCCAGCAGUGAAUGGGUACCAGGUAUUAAUUGGGGGUUGUGUCCCGUCUCCUGGGAUCUGUUCCCUUCUCCUAUAAUUCCUUCCCCUUCUGUCUCGCUCCGGCAUAUGACCACAGAUGUUGCGCCGACUAAACGAAACUUUCCUGUCUCCUGGGGUCUGUUCCCUUCUCCUAUAAUUCCUUCCCCUUCUGUCUCUCCAGCAUAUGACCACAGAUGUUGCGCCGGCUAAACCAAACUUUCCAACUUACUUUCCUCCUCCUCCUCCUCCCCCCCUCCUCAUGACACACCCACACCACCUUACCCUCUGGCUCCUCAGCAUACUCAUCAUAUCCUCCAUCUAACAUACUCUCAUCUCCUUAUUCAAUACCUUACCUUUCCUUACACUGUGAAUUUCCAGGAGCAUUCAAUAUUUUUAACCCGUCCACUGCGAUUGGCACGGAUUUCUCCUUCACUGGUAGCCUGGUAACAUACACUCCCAGGUCUUUCUCUGCCUCUGUGGUGGAUAGUGGAGUGUUUCCCAUGUGGUAUUGGUGUGCUGGAUAUCCCUUCACUGGUAGCCUGGUAACAUACACUCCCAGGUUUUUCUCUGCCUCUGUGGUGGAUAGUGGAGUGCACUCAUGUGGUAUUGGUGUGCUGGAUAUCCCCUCACAAGGUGCAGGACUAUACAUUUUUCUUCAUUGCAUUGUAGCAGCCACUUUUUGCUCCACUCCUGUAGCUGGGUGAUGUCUUAUGGUAGGAAAUCCAGUCAGGGGUUUAAGCACAACAGUAGAGUUAAGAUUUUGGUGGACAGUUUGUUGAAUUGCGUAGCGAGGAGAUGAAACUGUGUGAACCUGUAGCUAGGGUGGAGACAAGUUAUUUUAAGCAUCAAAUAUCAUCCCUUUGCCCCAUUGCUGCAUACUCCAUCCAUCUCUCGUCCCUCCUUUCUCAUACCUAGUCCAAUAUGAUCAUACCCCAUUCUCCUCUUGCAUGACAGAAACCUUCAUUCCUUCCCAUCCCUUUGCCUGUCAGAAGCCUUCAUCCCUUCCCAUCCCUUUGCAUGUCAGAAGCCUUCAUUCCUUCGCCUGUCAGAAGCCUUCAUUCCUUCCUAUCCCUUUGCCUGUCAGAAGCCUUCAUUCCUUCAUCCCAUCACUGCAAACUCCCUCCCUCUUUCCCUAAUCACGCAGUUCUCUCACAAAGCACAAGUCUCAGUUUCCCUUCUCUUACCACCCUGGCCUGUUCUUAUACCUUACUAAUAUUGUUUUAUGUUUUGCAGGAAUUAAGAUGAGAGACUACUGUUCCUGCUCCUCCUCCUCCUCCACUCUACCUUCCCAACCACGCCAAUCACCUCCGCCGUGAGACUCCUUGGCCGGCCUUUUCCUCUCUCUCCUAAAUGACGCCCCACUCUCUCCUCCUCCUCCUACACUUAACUAACACUAUUUCUCUAUCCUUGCACCCCAUGACUGUUAACUCCAUCCCCUUCCCUUCCAUUCUUGUCCCUUCCUCUCUCUCUCUCCUCCUCCUCUUAAACUUAACUAACACUAUUUCUCUAUCCUUACACCCCAUAACUGUUAACUCCAUCCCCUUCCCUUCCUUUCUCUCGUAAAUCCCCUACCACUCUCUCCUUCUCCUCCUAAACUUAACUAACACUAUUUCUCUAUCCUUGCACCCCAUAACUGUUAACUCCAUCCCUUUCCCUUCCUCUCUCUCGUAAAUCCCCUCCCACUCUCUCCUCCUCCUACUCUUAACUAACUCUAUUUCUCUAUCCUUGCACCCCAUGACUGUUAACUCCAUCCCCUUCCCUUCCAUUCUUGUCCCUUCCUCUCUCUCUUGGAUGACCUCCCGUCCUCUCCUCUUCCUAAACUCCAUCCCCUUCCCUUCCAUUCCUGUCCCUUCCUCUCUCUCCUUUUCCUCCUCCUCCUCCUCCUAAACUUAACUAACACUAUUUCUCUAUACUUGCACCCCAUGACUGUUAACUCCAUCCCCUUCCCUUCCUCUCUCUUAACUAACACUAUUUCUCUAUACUUGCACACAGGGUUGGCAAUGAUUAAAUCAAAUUGAUUAAAUCAUUGAUUUUUUUACAAAAAAAAUAAUGAUUUUUUUGACUAAAAGUAUUCCAUAAAUUAAAUUAAACUUUGUAUGUCUCUGGUAAAGCAAAGAAAGCAACAGACUUGAACAAGCAUAUCCUGUAGAUGCCACUGAACUUAUAACCUCACAAAAGCAAACUGCCAAGGCACUGACUGUGACUGACCAAGUGGUGGAAAAUACAUGUACUGAGUUUAGUGAGUUCUCUUGCUCUAAUGUUGCCAACUUGCCAUAUGUUUGUUACUAGGUAAAAAAGCAGCCUCCUUUAGUCUUUACUAACUUGGCAGGCAAUGUAUCAUAAUAAUAACCAAGGUUACCAACCAACCUAACAGUAGCAGAAUAAAAGUAGGUAUUCUUCUGUAUGGUAAUAAUAUAAUAUGCUGUAAUGAAAAUGACAACUUCAAGCAACUCUAUCUGUCCUAAACCUGGUCCUGUACCAACUACAAACAAGUAUUGAACAAGUAUGUAUCUGGAUCCUUGACUGUGCUCAGACUGACAGGCCAUAAACUUAAACUAUUUAUGGAGACUUUCAAAUCACUCAGCAGAUAUAUAUAUAUAUAUAUAUAUAUAUAUAUAUAUAUAUAUAUAUAUAUAUAUAUAUAUAUAUAUAUAUAUAUAUAUAUAUAUAUAUAUAUAUAUAUAUAAUAAAAAAUCUAAAAAAAUCACACCCCUACUUGCACCCCAUGUUGGUUAACUCCAUCCCCUUCCCUUUCAUUCCUGUCCCUUCCUCUCUCUCUUAAAUGUCCUUCCAUCCUCUCUUCCUCCACUUCACUAACACUUUGUUUCUUUAUUGCAGAGAUGACACAAGGCUCCUCCUCCACUCGAAAGACCCCUGCUGCUCCACCCUACCUCCUCACCACUCCGAGCACCUCCCCCGUGAGACUCCUUGGCCAGCCUGUUGCUGGUAAAAGAGCUGUCAGUGUGCUAAGUCCGCAAGGCUCCCCAACGUAACAUUUGACUUGAUUUUUAGUUUUUUUUAUAUAAUAUUUUUUAGAGCAGUUUGUGUCUGCACUGUUACUCCGGAGAGCCUUUGAGGUAUCUUUCUAUGUAUUGUGGAUGUUGAAUAAAGAUCUGAGUUGCUA